GUGGCUCAGCAGUUAAGAGCACUGGCUGCUCUUCCAGACGGCCUGGGUUCAAUUCCCAGC
rnacentral:tRNA from 1 species